GUGAAGAGCAACAGUCCCUUCUUUCUGAAUGACUGAAGAUUUAAGAGCUCUGCAUGCCCUGAACUACACUGUCCUGCGGAGGCAUUUGUUUGGGAACUGCGGCCUUGUGUGGCUCAAGCUCCAGCCGAGGAACAGAUGGUGCAGCGAGAGGGUCUUGCAGCAACUAGACCAAGAAGAAGGACACGCAGAUGCCAUUUGCUAUCAUGAGGUCUGUUUCUGCCAGCAGAAGAGUGGAGCUUCACGCCGUGACUGACAAGAUGCCUUGGCCAGCAAAGCUUUUCUCAUAUUAGAAAGAUUGGAGAGAAUUGUUUCUAUGGAAGUGGUGAACAUGGGACAGAAGUACUUCUCUCUUGAUAAGACCAGCAUGUGCAAACCAGGAAGAAAAAGUAAAAUCUCCAAUAAUAGAGAGAUAAAUCAAACAGGAAAAAAAAAAGUCUGGGUCCGAAAAACACGUGCAUUCCUGUAGCAGAGUUUAUGCGAGUUUUUUUUUCUUUUUUUCUUUUUUGUGAUGAGGUCACUAUUACUCACAUGGCUGUGUGGGAUAGACAGAGAACAUGCAUAAAUAACAAGAAAGCAAGCAUUCUAAUUUGCGCACCUUGUUUUUUUAAGAGUAUAAUCAUUGGCUGGAAUUAAUAGGAGCAGCUCUGAAUGAAUAACUUACUCAGCAUGUAAGUGAAAUAACUGAGAUUAGAAUCCUGAAUUGUUACCUUGGGCCUGGAGCAUUUACCUCCUUCUCUACCUGCUUAUCUCCAUCUCCUCCAAGGUGUGUUAACCUCAUGAUAAUCAAUCACUUCCAUGAUCAACAAUCUCGCUUCUUUUGAGAUACUCUUAGGAUUUCUGCUCUAAAAACUUAGACUACUGGGACUUGAUUUUCUUUGCUUUUUUCUCAGAAAUGUAUCUCUUUCUUGUCCAGUUGCAGCAAAAUCGAGUGUAUGCGGAGUUAAACUCCUACAAUUAAAUGUGCCAUUUCAGUUAUGGUUUCUUAUUCAGAGUUUUACUUUUUUGUGUCUAGAUUUCAUCUAUUAGUUUUAUAAUCUUCAUUGUACCCCCUUUGUGACAUAAAAAUUCUAUUAAACCAGUUUUACAAACAUUGGAAGGUUAGGAGCAAUAAACAUUGGUACAAAAGUCCCAAUUGAAAUU
rnacentral:lncRNA from 1 species